rnacentral:rRNA from 1 species
AUUGAACGCUGGCGGCAGGCCUAACACAUGCAAGUCGAGCGGUAGAGAGGAGCUUGCUUCUCUUGAGAGCGGCGGACGGGUGAGUAAUACCUAGGAAUCUGCCUGAUAGUGGGGGAUAACGUUCGGAAACGGACGCUAAUACCGCAUACGUCCUACGGGAGAAAGCAGGGGACCUUCGGGCCUUGCGCUAUCAGAUGAGCCUAGGUCGGAUUAGCUAGUUGGUGAGGUAAUGGCUCACCAAGGCUACGAUCCGUAACUGGUCUGAGAGGAUGAUCAGUCACACUGGAACUGAGACACGGUCCAGACUCCUACGGGAGGCAGCAGUGGGGAAUAUUGGACAAUGGGCGAAAGCCUGAUCCAGCCAUGCCGCGUGUGUGAAGAAGGUCUUCGGAUUGUAAAGCACUUUAAGUUGGGAGGAAGGGCAGUUAUCUAAUACGUGAUUGUCUUGAUGUUACCGACAGAAUAAGCACCG